rnacentral:rRNA from 1 species
UACGGGGGGAGCAAGCGUUGUUCGGAUUUACUGGGCGUAAAGGGCUCGUAGGUGGCCAACUAAGUCAGACGUGAAAUCCCCCGGCUUAACCGGGGAACUGCGUCUGAUACUGGAUGGCUUGAGUUCGGGAGAGGGAUGCGGAAUUCCAGGUGUAGCGGUGAAAUGCGUAGAUAUCUGGAGGAACACCGGUGGCGAAGGCGGCAUCCUGGACCGACACUGACGCUGAGGAGCGAAAGCCAGGGGAGCAAACGGG